rnacentral:pre_miRNA from 1 species
UAUAUACUCUCUCUGUCCAACAAAAGAUGUCUCAGUUUGUCAAAAUUUGGAUGUAUUUAGACAUGACUUAGUGUAUAGAUGUAUUCAAAUUUAGUCAAAAUUGAGAUAUCUUUUGUUGGACGGAGGAAUACAAU